rnacentral:lncRNA from 1 species
UGUUUUUCCAGUAGCAGUCUCAGAAAGUUUUCUUCUAAACUUUAGACUGGUAAAUGGUAUUUCCCCACCCCACCCCCCACUGAGAAAAUUAGGACAAACGCCUCAAUCACACACUUAACUAUGGAUACUGUUGUGUUACCAGCUCGACUUCCAACAUGUGUUAAUAAAUUGCCAAGUGUUACUCAGGGUUCCUGCAGUAGGUUAGGCCUGCAAUUCCUUACUUGCUUCCUGCAGUGAGUUUGGCCUACAAAAUGUUAUUUGCUUCCUGAAGUGGGUUGGGCCCAGGGAAGUGUUACUUGGGGUUUCUGCAGUGGAUCAUUUAUCUUCACACUGAAGACAUGUUGAAGGUACAAAGAACUAAUUUAGUCUUGCUUGUCAUACUCAUUGCAAAGUGUAUUUCCUUUUUCCUUGCUUGGUCUCUAUACUUCCUAACAAAAGAAUUACUAAAGUUGAUAUUUCCUGGCGUCUUGAUACACUGUGCACCUGCUGUCAGAAGUUUUUGGCUUGAAAUAACAUUAAACAUUUUUUGCAAAUAUAAGAUGAUUUAAUUCCUCUUUAUUUCUCUUUCAUUUGUCUUUCCCCAGACUGAGCUGAUAGGAACCAAAGGUGCAGAAAGCUGGUUUCCUCAGAUGUUCGAAUUCAUAAUAUUUUGUUUGUUGUCUUAAACCCCACUGGGCCUUUAAAUGAUAUAGCAUCUCCAAAUACUGUGUUGAAAGAGAGCAUUGUUACCCAUGUAGGCCUGUCAGGGUUCACUCUUCCACCCUGGACCCUGGAGGUUAACCAAAAACUUGAUUUAAAGAAGAACUUAUAAGUAACUUUGCAAACAAGUUACUACCAAACUAAACUUACCUGGGGCCAGUAAAUGGACUGUCCUUCCUCUCUGUAGUUUCCUUCGACUUGACUGAUGCCUAGACUGAAUAUCUGUGACAGCCACGAGGCUGUCCUUGAUCUGACCUCAGCUCUGUGUGUUCAUUUUACCAAAGGGACCUGUCUGUCAGUUGCUGUGAGCAGCCAUUAGAACAUGGCUCCUCAAUACCUGGCGGCAUCUCCACCUGUUUUUUUUCUUUUCCUUUCUUCUUUUCUUUAAUGAAAGCGGUAUACAUACAUAGUAUAUGUACCUAUCUAUACGGAUUGUUUAAAACGUUUUGGGGGACCAUCAGUAGCAUGAAAGAGGCCCAGAGGUGAGUCCAAAACACCAAAACAAGCAAACAAAGAAAGAAAACCUAUUUAAGACUACAGUAACAAAUGAUAGAGAACUUGUAAGUUACAGGAGUAAAUAUGUAGUUUUAAACUAUCCUGUUCUAUUUGUGAGUAAAUCUUUUGAGUAAAUUGUUUCAUUGUAUAAUAUGGAAAUACCUUUUAACUUGCAAACUUUAUAUGCCCCAGCACAGGGGAACGCUGGGGCCAAAAAGUGGGAGUGGGUAGGGGAGUUGGGGGGAGGGUAUGGGGGACUUUUGGGAUAGCAUUGGAAAUGUAAAUGAGGAAAAUACCUAAUUAAAAAAAAUAAAAAUUAAAAAAAAAAAAAGGAAAUACCUUUUACUUUCUUCAAGUAGCCCAAGUUGGCCUUGAACUCAUGAUCUUCUGACCUACACCAUCUAAAUACUGAGCUUUUUUUUUUUUUUUUAAAGACAAAGUGUUGCAGUGUAGCCCAGGCUGGCCCAAGUUUUUGAGCCUCCAGAUUCCCUAUUGGCAGGAUUAUAGGCAUCUGCCACCAUUGUUUGGAAAAUGUUUCCAUCUUUAAAAGGACUCUCUGUUACUCUUGUUUCCUGUAAAUUUGCUUAAGCUUCUUCAAGGUCUAGCUGAUAUCCCAAAACAAUUGAGUGAAGUUGACAGCUUUGGGCAUUCUGUUUGUUUUCGUUUGAGGCUUGGCUGUUCUUAUGAUAUGCCUAAAUACAGGAAGCUUGGUUAAAUGGUUUCUUUAGUAGAUGAGGACUAGGAAGUCAAAGCCAGACAGCACUAGUUGUUUGUUUGUUUGUUUAUGAGAACAUACACUUCCUCUAUUGAAAGUGUGUUUUGGUAGAAAAUUCUUGGCCCCAAAAACAGAUAUAUCAAAUCACAUUCUCAUGUUUGUGAAGUAUGCUUACUAGAAGGAAAUAAAUAGAAAAUAUUAAAGUAAGCAGUUGUUAAUCUGUAAUUAUUCAAUCCAGAUAAUGCCCUCUGUCACCUGUUAGACUGUCCACAGGAGAUAAGACUCCUUUGAAGGAGUUUAGCAUCUACCAGAAUCCAGCAAACCUAACGGUCUGUGGGUAGAUAUUCUGAGCAACUUAUUCAGAGCCAGGGCUUCUUUAAAAUUCAAUCAGAGCCGAGGCAAUCUGUGCAUUCAUUUGGCCUCGGGUCAUUUCUGUUAAAUUGAGGGCGUAUUCAAAGUGGUUACAAGAUAAAUGACACCUUGAUGACAUUUCUGGAAGAAAAAAGGCUGCAUAUUAUAGUAGAAUAAUAGGCAGAUUUAGAGUUGAUAGACUAAUAGAGUUGGGAAGCCUGCCCUGUGCUUACCGAGACAAGUUCCAUUUCUUUGCAUCUUCCUCAGCCUCCCUGCCUGUAUGAUGUGGAUAAUGCCUUUAUGUCAUGCAUUUACUUUGUGUAAUAAGCAUUUCUUUAUUUUACAAGGCUAGGUACUGAGAGUAGAGAGAAGCUCAGGGUCUAGCAGAAAAAAAAAAAACUCUGUUUACUGAAUUAACUAGAUUAUGGAGAUAGUCAGGCAUCCUUAUAAUGGCGUGAAGGCAAAGAGAUUGAGAGUGUCACUGUCAUAUAAUUAAGUCCUUAAAUUAAAUAAGUGUCAGGGUAAGAGUCUCAGUGGUUGAGAGCACUUGCUGUUCUUGCAGAAUUCCCAGGUUUGGUUCCCAGCACCUAAAUGGUAGCUCACAACCAUCCAUAACUCUUAGUUCCAGGUGACCUGAUGCCCUCUUCUGACCUCCAGGGGCACCAGGCAUGUAUAUAUGGUGCACAUACAUACAUGCAGGCAAAAUAAAAUAAAAUAAAAAUUUCUGUCAAAGAAAUGUCAAAGACCAGAGAAAUGGUUCAGUAGGUAAGAUGCCUUGCCACAGAGCCUGACGAUUAUACUGGAUCUCUGGAAUCCAGAUGAGGUGGCACUUAUGAAAUCCUUGCAUUUCUACAUCGAGAUGGGAUGGGAGACAGGAGAGUUACCGAGAUACUUGUAGGUCAGCUAGCCUGGAAUACAGUGUCUUGAAGAAACAAGGGAGAUCCUGUCCCAAAAAUAAGGUGGAAGGAAAGAGCUGAUUCCCAAAGUUAUCUUGUGAUAGCCAUAUGCACAUGCAUGUGUAUGCUCGCUCUCUCUCUCACUCUCUCUCUCUCUCUCUCUCUCUCUCUCUCACACACACACACACGCACACACACACACACAUAAAAUAAAAAUUUUAAUUUAAAAAAGCAGUUCUCUCGGGCACAAUAGGCAACAGACUCACUCAAGCAAGGGCACAGUGAGGGUUUACAGUGAAUUUAACAAGUUUCUAAGCCUGAGCUCCCAGAUCACUAUGGAUCUGCAUAGUGAUCUUUGAGAUCUGGUGGGAAUCUAUGGACUAUAGAGUUUUUAAGUAAUGUAAUGUAAUGAGACAUUUAAUAAAACACUAAUUAAGAAGCCAAGCCAGAUAGCGUAUAUGUACCUGUAAUCCCAGCACUCAGAGGCAGAAGGACCAGGCAUUUAGGGCCAUCCCCUGCCAUAUACAGAGGCUAUAGGACAGACAAGACAGACACAAAAGAGUGAAUUUCUUUGCUUUGAACUCAAAUUAUGUGAAAGCUUAGAAAGUAACUAUAGUUAUUGCUUUCCAGAAACCCUUAAUAUUUAGGUUAGUUUUAAUUAUUUUCUUUAUUUCUUUUUAAAAAAAAAUAUUUAUUUAUUUAUUUUUCAUAUGUAGUACACCACUGUAACUGUUUUCACACACCCUGGAAGAGGGCGUCAGAUCUCAUUACGGAUGGUUGUGACCCACCCUGUGGUUGCCGGGAUUUGAACUUAGGACCUUCAGAAGAGCAGUCAGUGCUCUUACCCACUGAGCCACUCUCCAGCCCUUUAAUUAUUUUCUUAAGCUGGGAACAAUGCAGGCUACCAAGAUGGGUCAGCAGUGAAGGGGCUUGCCACCAACCCUGACUACAUGCUCUCCAUUCCUCGAACCCACUUGGUGAAAGGAGAGAACCAGCUCCUGUAAGUUGACUUCUGACCUCUACAGUUAAGAUCUUGGCACACAUAGGCUGCCCCAAACAAACAAAAUAAAUAUU